rnacentral:lncRNA from 1 species
CAAAAGAGUCGCUCAGCUGGCGCAAUUGCUGUCAACAAAAGGAAGCUGUAUUUGAACAGGAGCUGGGCAGGCCAGCCCCAGGAGGCCUGCCGAAGGAGUUGAACUCAUGGAACGGAUGUCUAAAGAGAUAUAGCAGGGAGCAAUGGGAGAAGAAGCAUUUUCAUUGACUCUAAAUCAGACCCUUUGCAGUCAGGAUGCAGGUAGUGUAUGAGAGGUAAUGCAUCUUCUUACAUAUUUUUAUGUCAGUAGAUUUGCUCCAUUUUAGCCAACAGUUUUGAUUCUUGAUUCAGUGCUGUUGGUCUUAUAGUUUGGAACAUCCCCUUCAGUUCAGUUCAGUUCAGUCGCUCAGUUGUGUCUGACUCUUUGUGACCCCAUGAACCACAGCACGCCAGGCCUCCCUGUCCAUCACCAACUCCCCGAGUUU